AUUCCUGCUAAUACCCGUUAAGUAUAUGGAUCCUUUUUUCCCGACCCGGCGGUUACAUCCUACAACUAUGCACGGUUUCUUUUUUCCUGUCUCUUUUCCACAUUUCAAAUCUCCCACGUUUCAAAAGCCUCUCAACGGAUUAAACUGCUUUCAAGCUUAUACGCACACUGUUUUCUUUCUUUCAAACACUGCAAUACGUUUAUGUCUACGCCUCUGUUGAUUUCAUCCAAAGCUUGCAGCUAUUUGGAGGGGAGAUGGUGAGUUUUUGCAGGAUCAUGAUAAUGGGAAAAAGAGAAAAUACAGAAUUGUGCAGGAGUCAUUAGAAAACAAAAUCACGGGUCGUGAGCGUGUUUCUUUGGGUACUCUGUCUCCUUCUUCAGUACGUAAUGGACGAAGGACACACGUCACAUGCAGGAUAUGUCUUGCUCUUCUAACAGUCCUGAGUAUGGGAUUGACGUUACUCAAUUGACUGAGAACAAUGAUCCAUAUACUGCACAUUUUACCAGCGGUACUUUGAUUAUUCAGUGGCUGGUCACUAUUCAGGAGAGUGUGGUGAAAAGAAGUCUCUGGCGUGUGGCAAAAACAUUACUAAAUUUUGUUGUCAGGCUGUUCGGAUUUUCCUGGAGUUUGCACUUUGAAUCUGGAAGAAGGGCCAAUGUACAUCCAUAACGAGUUAUUGUAGAAAAGCCUGACGAGUGACGAGCAAUCACCUAUCGACGGAGAAGCUGUCACUGGAGAAGAUUACAUCCAUCCCUGCGUGGAGCGUCUCCAGAAUGUAGAGCAGAUACUUGACAAACUGAAGAACAGACCUGCUGAAAUUCCUAGAGAGAAGGAUCAAAUGCUUCUGCAUUCAUUGGAGAGAAUCAAGUCUGUGGAGUUUGACCUCGAUAAAACCAAGAGAUUCUCUUUGAAAAUGAAGUACGCAUCCUAUAUUAUCACGUCCUCUUUGAACGUGAGGUGUAGACGGACACCAAUAUGCACCACAUACACAGCAUUUUGACUAAACUUUCCUCGCUAUGACAUUCUUCGUAUUUGAUUGAAAUUUUAGGUUCUGGAAUUGCACAUGGCACAUGUUCCAAAUCCGUUAAUCAUAGUGAUGCAUUCAAGCGAGCAGCACAAACCCAGGGACGAGAUUUUAAACAAGAGAGAGCCAAGAUUACAUGCAUGUCUAGCAUGAAACGACUAUGAUGGAAAAGACUAGAUUUAUUAACUCGUGGAAGGUCUACCGUCUCAAGCAGAGUAUAAAGCUAAAGAUAAAAUGUUUGCAGGAGUGCUACAUUAUAUAAUGAGCAAGACCUGCUAAUAAGAGUUAAUGCAACCGAGGCUUCAGAAAGUAAAUUGAUGGAUAUCGGAGAAGUCUUAAUGCGAAGUGUAUUGUUUGAGGAAAACCAGAAAUAACAAGCAAUAGAAGCUGUAUAGAAUUUCAGAUAAUGGCAUCGGAGUAUAAGGAUAUAGAAUAAAGCCUGCUACUACUGUUAGUCUGUUAAACCGUCACACAUAUCAUGGAAGUCAUGCUUCUCCCAAUAAUAUGAGUAUUUCUCAGGAUGUUUCUGCAAAAGGGAAUCGUCCGGAUUCAGACAUUACUAUUCUGGUGUCCAGUGGCGGUGCCACAUUAGGGCACCUGGGGGCUCGUGCCCCUCCAACUUUCAAAAAAACAACUAUAUUUUUGUGGAUCCCACAUGUAUUAUUAACAGGUGCCCCCAGCUGAACUAUGUGAUCAGGGUUAUGGUGUCCCUUUAUACAUUUCAUCCUGGCUCCGCCAAUGCUGGUGUCUGGUUUGGAACAAAUGGAUGUUCGACGUCCAGCCUGGUAUACAGAGAAGUCAGUUCCUGCCGUGAAAAACUUGAUGAUGUCAUUCAAUUAUGAAACUGUGUGUACCUGCCUAGAUCAUUGUAUGUGUAGGUUUGUACAUAGGAUUGUCAACGGAGUACCAGUUCUUCGGCAUCAUGUGUUACUAAAACAUGUAAACAGAAGGAUAAACCAACAAAUGUUCCUAACAUUUUUGAUACUCGCUGUUCUGAAACAUUUGACACACUUGAGUUUCACUUUCACCUUCCAUAGUAGCAUAUAGUACUCUAACUUUCUCGCUUAAUGGUGAAUCUGACAAUACAUUUUCAUCAGAUUGUGUAGUAGAUGAUGUUGCUGAUACAGUCCAGGAAGCAGGUCGCGGUCAGUAUAGAGAACAUUGAGCAGGAGAUUCUGCCUCUAGAGCAGAUGAAAAUUGAACCUACUACAAAUACAAAUAGUUAAAUGGAAUCCGAGUUGCAAGCUAUAUCAGGUCACAUGCAAUCUGGAGCAUUUAUCUGAUACUAUAGGAGCAUCUUUAAAAUGAAUAAUAUGUUUAACAUUUUUUAUCACAAGGGUUUUGCUGAUUAGAUACCGAGCAAGAAUUAUCAAUUAGAGAAAAUGCAAACAAAAUAAAUUUGAUUGA